CGCGGCGCGUCUAUGCCGUAACAGUUGCGCAGAGCCCUGUGUUCAGCGUUAAAUUAAAAUUACUAAUACUGAAGAUAGAAUUCCGGGUGCUGGUACUUUUUUAUUGGAAAUUUCCUCCUCUUUAAGAAUCAUUUUAAAAUUUCCGCUAGCGCUUUUACUUUUUGAGUUACUGCCAAAAACCUGAGGCUUCGAUUUUUCUAGACUAUUAGGCGUCGGUGAACUUGCAUCAGAUCGGAGGAGCGCGUCUGAAAUGCCGUCCGGCGGUUUCGAGCGUCGUAGGCGAACUGCGAUUAGUCAAAUCCGUUCGGCUAAUGGAAUUU